rnacentral:rRNA from 1 species
CCUACGGGGUGCAGCAGUGGGGAAUAUUGCACAAUGGGGGAAACCCUGAUGCAGCGACGCCGCGUGAGUGAAGAAGUAUCUCGGUACGUAAAGCUCUAUCAGCAGGGAAGAAAAUGACGGUACCUGACUAAGAAGCCCCGGCUAACUACGUGCCAGCAGCCGCGGUAAUACGUAGGGGGCAAGCGUUAUCCGGAUUUACUGGGUGUAAAGGGAGCGUAGACGGCAGCACAAGUCUGGAGUGAAAUCCCGGGGCUUAACCCCGGAACUGCUUUGGAAACUGUGCGGCUGGAGUGCAGGAGGGGUAAGCGGAAUGCCUGGUGUAGCGAUGAAAUGCGUAGAUAUUAUGAGGAACACCGGUGGCGAAGGCGGCUUACUAGACUGUAACUGACGUUGAGGCUCGAAAGCGUGGGGAGCAAACAGGAUUAGAUACCCUUGUAGUC